rnacentral:rRNA from 1 species
AGAGUUUGAUCCUGGCUCAGGAUGAACGCUGGCGGUCUGCUUAACACAUGCAAGUCGAACGGAACCUUUCGGGGUUUAGUGGCGGACGGGUGAGUAACGCGUGAGAAUCUGCCUUCAGGUUGGGGACAACAGUUGGAAACGACUGCUAAUACCCAAUGUGCCGAGAGGUGAAAGCUUUAGUGCCUGAAGAUGAGCUCGCGUCUGAUUAGCUAGUUGGAGUGGUAAUGGCACACCAAGGCGACGAUCAGUAGCUGGUCUGAGAGGAUGAUCAGCCACACUGGGACUGAGACACGGCCCAGACUCCUACGGGAGGCAGCAGUGGGGAAUUUUCCGCAAUGGGCGCAAGCCUGACGGAGCAAGACCGCGUGAGGGAGGAAGGCUCUUGGGUUGUAAACCUCUUUUAUCAGGGAAGAAGAUCUGACGGUACCUGAUGAAUCAGCAUCGGCUAACUCCGUGCCAGCAGCCGCGGUAAUACGGAGGAUGCAAGCGUUAUCCGGAUUUAUUGGGCGUAAAGCGUCCGCAGGUGGUUUUUCAAGUUUGCUGUUAAAGCGCGAGGCUUAACCUCGUACAGGCAGUGAAAACUGAGGGACUAGAGUAUGGUAGGGGUAGCGGGAAUUCCCAGUGUAGCGGUGAAAUGCGUAGAUAUUGGGAAGAACACCAGCGGCGAAAGCGCGCUACUGGGCCAUAACUGACACUCAUGGACGAAAGCUAGGGGAGCGAAAGGGAUUAGAUACCCCUGUAGUCCUAGCUGUAAACGAUGGAUACUAGGUGUUGCCCGUAUCGACCCGGGCAGUGCCGUAGCUAACGCGUUAAGUAUCCCGCCUGGGGA